rnacentral:ribozyme from 13 species
UUUUUUUUUUUUUUUUUUUUCUUUCUUUCUUCUUGUCGACUUGAAAAAAA